rnacentral:rRNA from 1 species
AGAGCGAACGCUGGCGGCAGGCCUAACACAUGCAAGUCGAGCGCCCCGCAAGGGGAGCGGCAGACGGGAGAGUAACACGUGGGAACGUACCCUUCAGUUCGGAACAACCCAGGGAAACUUGGGCUAAUACCGAAUACGUCCGUAAGGAGAAAGAUUUAUCGCUGAAGGAUCGGCCCGCGUCUGAUUAGCUAGUUGGUGAGGUAACGGCUCACCAAGGCUACGAUCAGUAGCUGGUCUGAGAGGAUGAUCAGCCUCACUGGGACUGAGACACGGCCCAGACUCCUACGGGAGGCAGCAGUGGGGAAUAUGGACAAUGGGCGCAAGCCUGAUCCAGCCAUGCCGCGUGGAUGAUGAAGGCCUUAGGGUUGUAAAGUCCUUUCGACGGGGAAGAUAAUGACGGUACCCGUAGAAGAAGCCCGGCUAACUUCGCGCCAGCAGCCGC